rnacentral:rRNA from 1 species
GAUGAACGCUGGCGGCGUGCCUAAUACAUGCAAGUCGAGCGGCAGCGCGGUCUUCGGACUGGCGGCGAGCGGCGGACGGCUGAGUAACACGUAGGAACGUACCCCAAACUGAGGGAUAAGCACCAGAAAUGGUGUCUAAUACCGCAUGUGCUCCACGGAGUAAAGCUACGGCGGUUUGGGAACGGCCUGCGCACGAUUAGAUAGUUGGUAGGGUAAUGGCCUACCAAGUCGACGAUCGUUAGCUGGUCUGAGAGGAUGAUCAGCCAGACUGGGACUGAGAACGGCCCAGACUCCUACGGGAGGCAGCAGUAGGGAAUUUUCCACAAUGGGCGAAAGCCUGAUGGAGCAACGCCGCGUGCAGGAUGAAUGCCUUCGGGUUGUAAACUGCUUUUAUAUGUGACGAAUAUGACGGUAGCAUAUGAAUAAGGAUCGGCUAACUCCGUGCCAGCAGCCGCGGUCAUACGGAGGAUCCAAGCGUUAUCCGGAAUUACUGGGCGUAAAGAGUUGCGUAGGUGGCACUGUGUGUCAGUAGUGAAAGCGUGUGGCUCAACCAUAUACACAUUACUGAAACUGCAGAGCUAGAGGACGAGAGAGGUAACUGGAAUUCCUUGUGUAGGAGUGAAAUCCGUAGAUAUAAGGAGGAACACCGAUGGCGUAGGCAGGUUACUGGCUCGUUUCUGACACUAAGGCCACGAAAGCGUGGGGAGCAAACGGGAUUAGAUACCCCGGUAGUCCACGCCGUAAACGAUGAAUGCUAGCUGUUAUGGGUAUCGACCCCCGUAGUAGCGAAGCUAACGCGUUAAGCAUUCCGCCUGUGGAGUACGGUCGCAAGACUAAAACAUAAAGGAAUUGACGGGGACCCGCACAAGCGGUGGAGCGUGUUGUUUAAUUCGAUGGUAAACGAAGAACCUUACCCAGGCUUGACAUCCAUGGAAUUUUUCCGAAAGGAAAGAGUGCUUUUAGAACCAUGUGACAGGUGUUGCAUGGCCGUCGUCAGCUCGUGUCGUGAGAUGUUUGGUUAAGUCCAUCAACGAGCGCAACCCUUAUGGUCUGUUGUAUUUCUCAGGCCAGACCGCCCCGGUAACGGGGAGGAAGGAGGGGAUGAUGUCAGGUCAGUAUUACCCUUACGUCUGGGGCUACAAACACGCUACAAUGGCCGGUACAAAGGGCAGCCAAGUCGCGAGACGGAGCAAAUCCCAUCAAAGCCGGUCUCAGUUCGGAUAGCAGGCUGAAACUCGCCUGCUUGAAGCCGGAAUCGCUAGUAACGGUAGGUCAGCUAUACUACCGUGAAUACGUUCCCGGGUCU